GCAUAAUGCACUUGUAUGAUUGGAUAAAACGCUAAUGUUUUAUUCAUGUCGUCAUGCAUUAAACAUUUUUUUCCGUCCCACAAUUCCCUACGAUAUCUGUGCGAAGUGUCGUUCUUUUUGAUUCUGCGAAAUUCCACUUUUUGAAAUACAAUAGCAAGUCUAAUUAUCCGUUUUUAGAAUUGGUGUUCGAAAUCAUGAUUUCUGAGUGAACUUCAAUGGAGCAGAAAACCUUGGAGGAAACAUUAAUAUCAAUCUAAUGACAUUCCAUAGGAAUAAAAAUCCAAUGGGAUCCAGUUCUUAGCAGUCCCAGCCUAUUCAGAAGUACAAAGUCAAAUACCAUUUGCACAUCACCAAGAGGUACAAUCUGAUGAAUAACAGGAUAUCUGAUCUAAAAGCUUGCCAGGUUUCACAGGCUGUUUGAGUAUCACCAGGGCAGAUCAAGAAGAAAUAUGAAGGCCAGGUUCAUAACAAGCAGUUGCUUCAUUGCAA
rnacentral:lncRNA from 1 species